CGAACAUCAGUGUACAAAAGUUCCUAGAAAAUAUUUCAGGUGUACAUUGAGAUCAAAUUUAACGUAACGAACAUUAAACGAAUUUGCCAGAACAUACUGAUGUGGGUAUAAGAAUCAGACGGAUAUUUUCCAUAAGCGAUAUCCAGCCCCUGAGCGACCAUGUCAGGCCUAUUAGUCUUAUCAAUAACCCUAACAACGAUAAUGACAACAGAAACGACGUAUUUUAUGCAAGUGAGCCUGAAUUCUGUGAGGCAGUUGAAUUUCACGGAUAUUUUAAAUGUACGGAGUAUUCUAGAUUGUGCUAGCAUCUGUUCAGAGAGUUCAGACUGUGAAAUUUUGGCGAAUGACAAUGACAAUUGCUAUGUCAUAAAUUCGUCAACUACUGAAAGAACUGGGGCAACGGAAGUCUCUUCUCUUCAUAUAAAUACUCAACUCAUUGAAAAAUGUACCAGUCACGCCUAUAUUACCUUCUUAGCAGAUGGAUUCUGUUGGAAAGAAUACAACACAAAUUCUGAUUGGUCAACAGCCAGUACCACAUGUGAACAAGAUGGCGGAAGGUUGAUUUUAAUGCGGAAGUGGGAAAUAGAUGUGAAGAAAUUGCGACUUGAAGAUAUGAACUUGACCGCCCCUAGUUAUUUUAUGGGAGGCAGUGAUCUGGAUGUAGAAGGGAAGUGGGUAUGGAACGAUGGAUCGCCCAUGUCCAUGACAGAUUGCUGGAAGUCGGAUCAACCGGACAAUUGG